AUUGAACGCUGGCGGCAGGCCUAACACAUGCAAGUCGAGCGGAUGAAGGGAGCUUGCUCCUGGAUUCAGCGGCGGACGGGUGAGUAAUGCCUAGGAAUCUGCCUGGUAGUGGGGGAUAACGUCCGGAAACGGGCGCUAAUACCGCAUACGUCCUGAGGGUGAAAGUGGGGGAUCUUCGGACCUCACGCUAUCAGAUGAGCCUAGGUCGGAUUAGCUAGUUGGUUGGGUAAAGGCCUACCAAGGCGACGAUCCGUAACUGGUCUGAGAGGAUGAUCAGUCACACUGGAACUGAGACACGGUCCAGACUCCUACGGGAGGCAGCAGUGGGGAAUAUUGGACAAUGGGCGAAAGCCUGAUCCAGCCAUGCCGCGUGUGUGAAGAAGGUCUUCGGAUUGUAAAGCACUUUUAGUUGGGAGGAAGGGCAGUAAGUUAAUACCUUGCUGUUUUGACGUUACCAAAAGAAUAAGCACCGGCUAACUUCGUG
rnacentral:rRNA from 1 species